rnacentral:rRNA from 1 species
AAAAUUUUGACGGUAUUUAAUCUUUUAGAGGAAUAUGUAAUUUAAUCGUAAUUACACGUUAAUUUUACUUAUUUUGUUUUUGUAUACCACCGUUAAUAGAUUUUAUUAUAUAUUUUAAUAAAUUUCUAAAUAAAUUAAUUUUAUUAUAUCAGGUCAAGGUGCAAAAUAAAUAAGUUAUUAUGUAUUACAUUCAAAUAUAUUGUAGUGGAUAAUUAUUGAAACAUCUAUUUGAAAUUGAAUCUACAAGUAAAAUUUUAAUAAAGUAUUAUUUGAAUAAUAUUAAU